ensembl:lncRNA
UGUCCCACCUACGUGCUCUGUGUUUGCUGCUAUGUGUGGAGGUAGUCGCGUGCUGGCAGGAGAAAAGAGAGACUGAAGCUUUUGAGCUGGAAAAAAGUAUUAGAUAUAAGUUGCAACCAACUGUGUUGCACAUAAGUUCACUGGUUAUCAGCUAACUUUCAUGUUAGAAGUAGCCGCAGUGAGUAAACAGGCAAAUGCUGCAUUUUUCUGGUGACUUUAGAAAGUACCACGUGGAGGUAAACUGUUAGCCUUUGUUAGCUCUGGUUGCUAUCAACUGCCUGGAAGUUCAUCUCAAUCUGCUUCCAGAAGCAAGAGCCCUGCAUUUUCCGACCGAGAGACACUAUGCCAUUGUCUUCGGCCGUGAUGCGCUGAGAUCGGUGAGCACAUGUUGUAUGUCUCAGUUAGUUCAUGUCUGUUUCACAUUUUAUCGUUGAGAAACUGAAUUAAUCUCAAUUGUUUGAUUAAUACUUGCCGCAUAUGCGACAUAUAUGCAUAUGCACUGACUUUACUUGGUUUAAUGCCUAGUUUAUGUAAGAGAGAUGUUUUAUUUUUGCAAAAUUGAGUAUUUUUAUUGCAAAUUUAUGUUGAAUGUGAUUUAAACAAAAUCCUAAGUUGUGAAUUAUAGCUAGAACAGCAUAAUUAAUAUUUGAAUUGCUCUUCUGACCCUGUCUGUUGACAGGUCAGGUUUUUUUUUGUAUGCUGAAUUGUUCCUGAGGUGGAUUCCUCCAGUGAAAUAGGAUUCCUCCAGUGAAAUAGAUGGCGAGCCUUCCCACCUGGACUUAGAGAGACUGAGAUUCGCUUCUUUUCCACUUGAUGAUCUGCUGCACCUUGCGGUGUGGUAGGACUGUAUCACUCACACUUUCACGCACAGCUGGUUAUACAUAAGACCACUGACUGACAUUCUUUCAUCCCUAUUUUCUUUCACACCCUGGGAAUUUUUUGGACUUUACCCCUUGGACAUUUUUUAUUUGGGACUUUAAAUAAUGAGCUGUUGUGUAGAGCAUUCUCCACAUGUGAAAAGAGUGUGAAAUUUUCAUUUGAAUGUACAUUGGAUUUGUGUAAUCUGUUUCUAUAAGAGUUAAGGAGUCAGGUUACUAGGGUGCACCCGAGCAUUGAAACCCAAACAUUGAAAACCAAAAAUAACACUUGGCCAAGUCAUUGCUUUAGUAGUUUGUGUUUUACUUUUCUUUUAAUUUUUGUAAGUUUCCUUUCUACCAUUGUAAAGUGUCUUUAACCUGUGCUUGUCAACCUUAUGGUUUAUGUCACUAAAGUUGGCUGGUUCUUUUGAGUUACAUUCUUGUCUCUGUGUCUCAUUUGAACACACCCCUGUGCUCCUAUAGUCGAGUCUAUUGGCCCAUUGAUAUAUUCUUUUCAACAAUUCCCCUUACUGUGUUACAUACACAUCUACUAUAGCCACAAUAAAAACAAGUAAUAAUUGCACUGAAAAUUAUAUCUAGUAUAUUAAAAUGGGUUUCAAUGGGGCAAAUAACAAAAACCUGCACUUUUCACUUGUUUCUACUGCACUGCAAACUUCUUGAAGUUUAAAAAGAGCACAAGAAACAAAAUGAAUAUAUACAAAAUGCUUACUAUUGGUGGAGCUCUCAGAAUGCUUUUUGUUACACAUGAAACAGUUGCCCAUUUUUAAUGUCCUCUCAUUUAGCAACACCUAUGCAGUACCUCAAGAGGGCACUGCUGAG